UGACACAAAACCCAGGAUCCCACAUGCCUAUGGCUGCUAUUCUUCUUGUAAGUCUUAAUACUUCUGCUGUUCUGUACAGCACCAUGCAGGAUGAACCUUUCUCCUACUGCAUAUACCAAAAGUCACAUGGAAAAGUGAGCAGUGUCACUGUAUCAAUGUCCUUUAAAAACGAAAUUCCAAGCCCUGUAUUUAGUAAGAGGCUCCAGGCUGUAUGUGGAAGCUGUGAACAUUUAACAGUGAGCAAAUCCACUAUUUACCCAAGGCUGUUUUCCUCAUGGCUGUUAUUUUUUUUCAGUAGCAUGUAUGCAUGCCUUUGGUGUUUACUGUCAGCAAUUUUCAGUGUGCUGACAUGGCUAAAAGUAACCACAAAGCCAAUAUAAGCAAGCAAAGAAUAGAAGCAGAAGUAGAAAUGUCAGGAGGCACAGGCUUCAACUUUGCAAUCCUGCAGCUGUAAGAACCAAGGUAACCCAGCUUUCGUGGAGAAGAACCGGAUCCCCUGUCACAAUGGUCAUAACUUCUAUGAGGCAGGAAAGAGCACAGCAGUACAGGUCACACCACCUCCCUGUCCUCUGAGACUGUGUAUGGAGAAUCAAUAGCUUCCCCAAGCAGGAUCCAACAUCCCAGCCCACCGGAUCAGUUCAGAGCCAUGAUUUCAUAGUUACUCUGUUGCAAACUCCUUGCAAAUCCCAGUGGUGAUUUAAGAGCUGUCCUGAGAGCUCUCCUUACUGGAGGCAAGAUCCGAGUUUCCUCAAAGUAACAUUCAGCCUGUUUUUUUCUAGGCUGUGGCACAACCACCACCUUCUGCUUGCAGAUACAGCUUCAGUUCCAGGACUUGCAGAUUUGGAGCAACUUCUGUGCACAUAUGUAUCAGAGGACCAAAUAAUUAUUUUCAUAAAUGUC